AGCGGAUGAGAGGAGCUUGCUCCUCGAUUCAGCGGCGGACGGGUGAGUAAUGCCUAGGAAUCUGCCUAGUAGUGGGGGACAACGUUUCGAAAGGAACGCUAAUACCGCAUACGUCCUACGGGAGAAAGUGGGGGAUCUUCGGACCUCACGCUAUUAGAUGAGCCUAGGUCGGAUUAGCUAGUUGGUAGGGUAAAGGCCUACCAAGGCGACGAUCCGUAACUGGUCUGAGAGGAUGAUCAGUCACACUGGAACUGAGACACGGUCCAGACUCCUACGGGAGGCAGCAGUGGGGAAUAUUGGACAAUGGGCGAAAGCCUGAUCCAGCCAUGCCGCGUGUGUGAAGAAGGCCUUCGGGUCGUAAAGCACUUUAAGUUGGGAGGAAGGGCUCAUAGCGAAUACCUGUGAGUUUUGACGUUACCAACAGAAUAAGCACCGGCUAACUUCGUGCCAGCAGCCGCGGUAAUACGAAGGGUGCAAGCGUUAAUCGGAAUUACUGGGCGUAAAGCGCGCGUAGGUGGCUUGAUAAGUUGGAUGUGAAAUCCCCGGGCUCAACCUGGGAACUGCAUCCAAAACUGUCUGGCUAGAGUGCGGUAGAGGGUAGUGGAAUUUCCAGUGUAGCGGUGAAAUGCGUAGAUAUUGGAAGGAACACCAGUGGCGAAGGCGACUACCUGGACUGACACUGACACUGAGGUGCGAAAGC
rnacentral:rRNA from 1 species